ensembl:lncRNA
UCUUGUCACAUUAUUGCUUUCAAUAAGGCUUUGCUUGAAGAGGCUAAAUCGAGCCAUUUCCCACGGGCAGCACUGGGCAGGGGCUGUCAAGGCUCAGCACUCAAGGAGCCCACGUGCACUCGGUGCAGAAGCAGCACCCAGCCUAACGCUUGGGACAGCAGGAACCGAGUGGUGUGUAAUGGCUUAUCAAGGCAUCCCACACACUGACGACCUGCUGCAGAGCAUGCUUGGGAACACCAGGCCUUCACUACAAGUUCACAUGAAUUCAAGCUUACAGGGGACUCAUGCAAAGCCCUGUGCCUCGACAGCCAGCAGCACAGCUCUCACGAGUAUCUCCAAAGCUGUUUGUCCAGAGUUUAUUUGGGAUUGGUUUCCUUAAUUUCAUGCAACAGUCAUCAAAGCAAAACAGAAGUGGACGUGCUGCUGUCAGUGUGGAUGUGGAGUCCUCCGUGUCCCCCCUCUGCUCGUUAUCUGCAGGGACUGAAAUUUGGUUUGUUUUUUAUGCUUAGGAGCCAGAGAAAGCUAAGAUACUGCUUAAGUGAAGAGCCAUUAUUUACUGUUAAUAAAAUUGACACCGUAACACAUUCCGUAUGGCACAGAUAUGCAAUCACAUCUUGGCAUCAGUAACAGGAGGAAUUAUUCUGCCUGGCUUGCAGUCUUUUCUUCAUUGUACAAAGACAGUAAUUACCCAGCUUGGAACUAAAUGAACCCAACUGAAAAAAGCUGAUUGAUGAGAAAUGACUCCUGACUGCUUCCCAAACACAUCUUGGUUUGGAUGCCAUCACUGACAGCGCUGAUGCCAGCACCAGGUUGUGGCUCCUGCUGGGCAGUAUCCAUAGCCAGGAGUCAGUGUUCAGUGGUUUGGUCUCUAGGGGACUCCCAGCUUGAAGGAGUGAUGAAUAAACAGCGAUAAGCACGCCAUAAACCCUUCCAAACUGACCCAUUUACAUGCAAAGUUGGUAUGUUGCAAAUUAUGAUAAAUGUAGUGCAGGCAAGCCACUCCACAUUAAUUCCUGGGGUAAAGAUCAUGCAGUGGCUUACUCCAGAUUAGGAAUUACUUUGCAUGAGGUUUCUCCAUACAGUGUGGCUAUCAGUCAGUGUGUGAUAACUCCCUUUACAGCCCCAAAUACACCAAAGUCUCCACAUAUGCAUGUCUUUGGGCCAGGCUGUCAUCAUGCAGCAAGCUGUCAUUCCCAGGGCCAGCAAGAUCACCUGUUGCUCCCUCCAGCUUUUCCAUAUCAAGUUCAUGAAGUUUCUCUAAUUUUGCAUUUUAAAUUGAUCUAGUCAACUGCAAAUUGUUGGUUUUGUUGUUUUGUUGUUGCUGUUUUCACCCUUCCUGCAAAUGAAGCUUCCUGCAAAUGAAGGGAUCUGUUAUUCCAUUCAUCCUUUUUCUCAGCCCUGCACAAUUUUUCAUUAGCCGGUGAUGCAACAGUUUGCAAACAUGCUUUCCAGCUUGGUGUAGCUACUGAAAAGCCAGUGACCUUCUGCAUCCAGCUCGGGAGCAGUGUGUGCAGAGCUGCUGCGGAGCUGAGGAUGAACUUCCCAUGGUGAUGAAGAGGCACGAAGGAGUGUUUCUAAGUGCCCAGCUGCCUGCAUUCUUGUUGAGCUCAUCCUUUUAAGACUGCUGAGAGGUGAUUGUAUUAGUAAUGAUACGUUGCAGUGCCUAGAGGCCUGGAUAAAUAACUAAUGAGGCAUCUUAGUCAAAAUAAAAAAGAUUUUCCCUCCUGAUUCCUCUGUUUGAAUGCUCAUUUCUGCAGGAAGGCAUGCAGUGCCGCUGGAAAGCACACACCUCCUGUCCAAACACCACGAUGCCUGCAGGUUGCCAUAGCAAUGAAGAGAGCUGAGGCCAUUUGGGGCUGUAAUUCUGCAAUGCACGCAGCAGUGAGGUGCCACAUCCCCGUGCUCAGCACUGCUCAGACUCCAGCAGCCACAUCCAGCCUGGGAAGGGUGUUUCACAGACACUGAGCCUGUUGUGCAGACUGAAUGUGCCUUCACAGCAUGGCCAAAUAGUACCUAGAUAAUACCAUGGGGUGGCUGUCACUCCUGUGGGUUGCAACAUACCCAGCCGGUCACAAACGGAGAUAGAGUUUGAGUGUACAGCUUGAGAAAGCUGGUGUCUAUUUAAACAUCAUUGCUAGACUAUACUUGCAAUGGACAGUCUAAAUAAAGAUACUCAAUGCUUUAUCAGGCCAAGUUUUACAAAGCAGAAAACCACUACUUGAGGGUUGGCACGAAAGGAAAUGAUUUAAUCUCCAGAAGUGAGUGACAGCUGGGAACUGCAUGAAACCAGCAAACACUGUGCCCGGAAAGCUGCAGUCCUGCAUAAAAGUG